AUAAAUGCAGCAACAUGUUUCGCCGAUAAGAAGAAAGACAUUUCUAUUUUUUUCCAAGGAGAGUAUAAAUAUCCUGUGCGUUUAUGUGUUGAAUAUCAUAUGUAGAACAUCAUAUGCUGGAAUAGCCAAGUAAGAAAAAUGGGAAUGUGCAAAAUAGUUAUUAUAGCUAUUUUUCUGAUAAGCAUCUCGACGAUAGAUAAAAGCGAAGCAGGUUAUAGUCUGCAGUGUCCACCAAUUAAUCCAGAUCAUGUCAGUCAUUGUGGUAUUUUAUGUCGACCUGGAGGGUGUACUAGAGGAUAUCUUUGCUGUUCAAUUGGUUGCGGUACACAGUGUGUAAGGGGAAUUUGGAUUUAUAAUUAAACAGAGAACUACAUAUGCAUCUGGCUACAAGCAGAAAAAAAAGUAGCAGUAAAGAAGAGUGAUUCAAUUAAUACUUUUUAUUGUUCCAAAAUCAACAUAAGCUUCUAUGUUUUCUCAAUUAAAAUUAUCAAAUUUGAAUACAUUUGAAUACAAAUCAUAAUCAAAGUUCUUUAUAUUUCUAUUUACGCAAUUGCCACUUUUGAUUAUUCGAUAUGAAAACAAUGUUAUCUGCACAUACCAACACGGAAACAGACGAUUGUCUGUAACUGUUACUUUGAUAAUAUAAACGGUACCAAUUCUAAUGAACUAGAUGCGCAUUUCGACAAUUUAUGUUUCUUCGUUGAUGCUCUAGGCCAAAAUAUUUGAAUACCCAAAUCUAUUACAAAUGGUGAAAAGCGGAUCAAAUAAAAAAGGACCUAAAAUUAAGCAAAAUCCGGACAAGAAAUCAGAGCAUUGCUCCAGAUGUGCAUUUCGACAAUAAAUGUUUCUUCAGUGAUGCUCGAGGUCAAAAUAUUUGAAUACCUAAAUUCUAAUACAAAUGUGGAAGGAAGUGCGGAUAAAACCUAAAAGGACCUAACGUAUAGCCAAAUCCGGACAAGGAAUUAGAGCUUUGCUCAAAGGAGAUAUAUUCCUUAAUUUAAAAACAUUUCCUUAAUUCUAUAACAGUAAAUUUUGAACAAACCAUAUCCGUCUAAUGACAAAAAAUAUUGUCGAAAUGCACAUAUUGUGUAGUAAAAUUGGUACCGUGAAUGUUAUAUUAAGUGUUUGCUUGCAAUAAAGUUGAUAAGUUGUUUACAGUAGAAAUGGUCUUCUUAAAACUAUCUAAAUUUAUCGACAAAAGUUAUAAUUAGACUGUUAUUGGUGAAUAAAUUCUGCGUCUGGUAUCAAGUUAUUAUUUUUUUUUGUAUUUAUUUUCGCAUAUCUAUAUUGUAAAACAAAUCUUCAUUAAGAUGUUUUCUGUUUUGUUUUAAAACGGUG